AAACAAAAGCGUUCUCUCCCGGAUUGUCGAAUGUGGAUGAUGUCCCUGUAAUGUGUAUAAGAAAGGAGGAACACUGCAUUAAAUUGUUAUCACAUACCUCGGGAAAGCAUCCGAAUUACAAAUGCUUAUUUUUGAGGGAUUUAGCAUGCAUACACUGUGAAAUGUAGAACAGCCUAUUUUUGCACAUUCAUUCAUAAAAGCUAAUUACAAAAAAAAAAAAUUGCAAUAUGCAAUAAGUUUAUCAAGAAAAACUUGUGUAAUGAAGAAUACACAUGAAGUACUGUAAUGGAAG